UUUACAAUGAAGAGUUUGAUCCUGGCUCAGGAUGAACGCUAGCUACAGGCUUAACACAUGCAAGUCGAGGGGCAGCAUUUUAGUUUGCUUGCAAACUAAAGAUGGCGACCGGCGCACGGGUGAGUAACACGUAUCCAACCUGCCGAUAACUCGGGGAUAGCCUUUCGAAAGAAAGAUUAAUAUCCGAUAGUAUAUUAAAACCGCAUGGUUUUACUAUUAAAGAAUUUCGGUUAUCGAUGGGGAUGCGUUCCAUUAGUUUGUUGGCGGGGUAACGGCCCACCAAGACUACGAUGGAUAGGGGUUCUGAGAGGAAGGUCCCCCACAUUGGAACUGAGACACGGUCCAAACUCCUACGGGAGGCAGCAGUGAGGAAUAUUGGUCAAUGGGCGAGAGCCUGAACCAGCCAAGUAGCGUGAGGGAUGAAGGCUCUAUGGGUCGUAAACCUCUUUUAUAUGGGAAUAAAGUUUUCCACGUGUGGAAUUUUGUAUGUACCAUAUGAAUAAGGAUCGGCUAACUCCGUGCCAGCAGCCGCGGUAAUACGGAGGAUCCGAGCGUUAUCCGGAUUUAUUGGGUUUAAAGGGAGCGUAGGUGGAUUGUUAAGUCAGUUGUGAAAGUUUGCGGCUCAACCGUAAAAUUGCAGUUGAAACUGGCAGUCUUGAGUACAGUAGAGGUGGGCGGAAUUCGUGGUGUAGCGGUGAAAUGCUUAGAUAUCACGAAGAACUCCGAUUGCGAAGGCAGCUCACUAGACUGCAACUGACACUGAGGCUCGAAAGUGUGGGUAUCAAACAGGAUUAGAUACCCUGGUAGUCCACACAGUAAACGAUGAAUACUCGCUGUUUGCGAUAUACAGCAAGCGGCCAAGCGAAAGCAUUAAGUAUUCCACCUGGGGAGUACGCCGGCAACGGUGAAACUCAAAGGAAUUGACGGGGGCCCGCACAAGCGGAGGAACAUGUGGUUUAAUUCGAUGAUACGCGAGGAACCUUACCCGGGCUUAAAUUGCAUUUGAAUAAUCUGGAAACAGGUUAGCCGCAAGGCAAAUGUGAAGGUGCUGCAUGGUUGUCGUCAGCUCGUGCCGUGAGGUGUCGGCUUAAGUGCCAUAACGAGCGCAACCCUUAUCUUUAGUUACUAACAGGUGAUGCUGAGGACUCUAGAGAGACUGCCGUCGUAAGAUGUGAGGAAGGUGGGGAUGACGUCAAAUCAGCACGGCCCUUACGUCCGGGGCUACACACGUGUUACAAUGGGGGGUACAGAAGGCAGCUACCUGGCGACAGGAUGCUAAUCCCAAAAACCUCUCUCAGUUCGGAUCGAAGUCUGCAACCCGACUUCGUGAAGCUGGAUUCGCUAGUAAUCGCGCAUCAGCCAUGGCGCGGUGAAUACGUUCCCGGGCCUUGUACACACCGCCCGUCAAGCCAUGAAAGCCGGGGGUACCUGAAGUACGUAACCGCAAGGAGCGUCCUAGGGUAAAACUGGUAAUUGGGGCUAAGUCGUAACAAGGUAGCCGUACCGGAAGGUGCGGCUGGAACACCUCCUUUCUG
rnacentral:rRNA from 1 species